rnacentral:rRNA from 1 species
GACGUAGGAGGCGAGCGUUAUCCGGAUUCACUGGGCGUAAAGCGCAAGUAGGCGGUUGUGUAAGUCCGUUGUUAAAGCCCCUGGCUCAACUGGGGGAGGUCAAUGGAGACUUUAUGACUUGAGGGCAACAGAGGCAUGUGGAACUCCCGGUGUAGCGGUGGAAUGCGUAGAGAUCCGGAGGAACACCAGCGGCGAAGGCGGCGUCCUGGACUGGUACUGACGCUCAGGAGCGAAAGCGUGGGGAGCGAUCCGG